UGGUGAUAAUGAGGACAACUAAUGAGUAAAGAUUUGAACUUUUCCCAGGCUUGGUAUAAAUUUUCACCAGACAUCUGUUUAAAGCUCUAGAUUUUGGAUCUUAGCUU